UAUGUAGGGUGCAAGCGUUAUCCGGAAUUAUUGGGCGUAAAGAGCUCGUAGGCGGCUUGUCACGUCGGAUGUGAAAGCCCGGGGCUUAACUCCGGGUCUGCAUUCGAUACGGGCUGGCUAGAGUGUGGUAGGGGAGAUCGGAAUUCCUGGUGUAGCGGUGAAAUGCGCAGAUAUCAGGAGGAACACCGGUGGCGAAGGCGGAUCUCUGGGCCAUUACUGACGCUGAGGAGCGAAAGCGUGGGGAGCGAACAGG
rnacentral:rRNA from 1 species